rnacentral:rRNA from 1 species
UACGGAGGGUGCAAGCGUUGCUCGGAAUUAUUGGGCGUAAAGGGUAGGUAGGUGGUCUCAUUUGUCUGGGGUGAAAGCCUUGGGCUUAACUCAAGAAGUGCCCCAGAAACGGCAGGACUAGAGUUCUGGAGAGGGUCGUGGAAUUCCCGGUGUAGCGGUGAAAUGCGUAGAGAUCGGGAGGAACACCAGAGGCGAAGGCGGCGACCUGGACAGAUACUGACACUCAACUACGAAAGCGUGGGGAGCAAACAGG